UGCCGGGUCGUCUAACGGUAGGACACGGGACUUUGAAUCCCGGUAUGAAGGUCCGACUCCUUCCCCGGCAG
rnacentral:tRNA from 1 species